UAUAAAAAUAUCGAAAAUAAAACUAGUUCUACGUUGAAGGUUGGCAACAACAAUAAGCGAUUCUCCGUGCCUAUCAAGUUUUCUUUAUACUGAUCGUGGCCUCGAACAAGUCGCUACAUU
rfam:Brassica napus, WGS project CCCW01000000 data, contig: 5966